GAUGAACGCUGGCGGCGUGCCUAAUACAUGCAAGUCGAGCGAACAGAUGAGGAGCUUGCUCCUCUGACGUUAGCGGCGGACGGGUGAGUGACACGUGGAUAACCUACCUAUAAGACUGGGAUAACUUCGGGAAACCGGAGCUAAUACCGGAUAAUAUAUUGAACCGCAUGGUUCAAUAGUGAAAGACGGUUUUGCUGUCACUUAUAGAUGGAUCCGCGCCGCAUUGGCUAGUUGGUAAGGUAACGGCUUACCAAGGCAACGAUGCGUAGCCGACCUGAGGGGGUGAUCGGCCACACUGGAACUGAGACACGGUCCAGACUCCUACGGGAGGCAGCAGUAGGGAAUCUUCCGCAAUGGGCGAAAGCUUGACGGAGCAACGCCGCGUGAGUGAUGAAGGUCUUCGGAUCGUAAAACUCUGUUAUUAGGGAAGAACAAAUGUGUAAGUAACUAUGCACGUCUUGACGGUACCUAAUCAGAAAGCCACGGCUAACUACGUG
rnacentral:rRNA from 1 species